rnacentral:rRNA from 1 species
UCUUUAGAUUUAAUUUAAGAUCGGGCCUGCCCAUUGAUUUUAUAAUUAAAAGGCUGCGGUAUUUUAACUGUACGAAGGUAGCAUAAUCACUUGUCUUUUAAUUGAAGGCUAGAAUGAAUGGUUUAAUGAAAAAUAUUCUUUCUUUUUUUAAUUAAUUUAAAUUUAACUUUUUAGUUAAAAGGCUAAGAUUUUUUUAUAGGACGAGAAGACCCUAUAGAAGUUUACUUUAUUAAUUAUUUUUUAUUUUUUGUUUUUAAAAUAAUUUUUUUGAAAUAAAGUUCUGUUGGGGUGACAUUAAAAUUUAUUAAACUUUUAAUUAUUUUUAUCAUUAAUUUAUGUUUUUUGAUCCUAAAUUUUAGAUUAUAAGUUUAACUUACCUUAGGGAUAACAGCGUAAUUUUUUUGGAGAGAUCAUAUC